AGGGUCUGCGGUUGUUUAAAAGAACAAAACAGAUGAUAAAAAUGCUGACAGUGAAGGACUGAUACAAGCUACCAUGUAUCAAGUGUUUACUACAUGCUAAGCACUGGACUAAAUGCUUUACCUGCACAACUUAUUUAAAACCUUGGGCAACCCAUGUAGGAAGAACUCCUAUUUGUCUCAUUUUUAAGUGACAAAUUGAGCCACAGAAUAUUCCAGAAACUUAGUCAAAGUCACACUGUAACUCAGUCAAGUUUGAACCUACAGCUUGAGAUAGCAGAAUGCUCUGAUUUCUCGUUAUAGAGAUUUCCAAUGAGAAAGAAAAAUACCAGCCUCUGAUGCCCUGAGAUGGCCUGACACUUACAGUCUGACUGAUUUCUUCUCAUUGGAAAUAAACAAUCUCAGAUACAGAAUAUCAACUUAAGACAAGGUUUUUCUGAGACCUUGAUAAAAUCAAUAAAAGAAGGCACCCUCAUAAUUUUGCCCAGAGGAAAAUAAGGUCACUGGGCAACCUACAAAAUCUCAAACAUCUUCCUCUUUUCAUAAGGAAAUAACUGCUACUUCCUUACUCCAGUCAUAGAAUUGUGCACACUAACAGUAUUCAAUAUGGAGCUAACCCUGUUUUUUCCAAUCUUUCCCCAAAUCACAAAUCACCCAACCAAGCCCAAAUCCUAUAAUAGGAUUACACCCAACCACACCUUGAAACCAAGUAUCCUGAAAGCCAAGUUCCUCUGGGAGUUUAUUUUUAAAUUAUCUAUAAAAAAUAUUAUGCCUUUUCUUGUCCAACACCUGAUCCUCUCAAGACUGAGUAUCAAAGAAAAGUGGGCCACUGACAUGGAACAGGACCCUGUGGGGCUCUCCUAUUUACAAAAGCCUUUCCAUGUCCCUCAUUUCAUAUUUGUUGGGGAAAAGUUUCAGCUCCCUAGACCUUCACUGGGUUUCAAAGGGCAGAUUCAAACUAAUUAAGUGAGGGAAUGCAGAGACAAAGACGAUCAAGAAAUAAUAAUACAUGUUCUGAGCUAAGGUUAGCCAAAAGGGGAAUAUGGCCAACAUUUAGACAUGGAGGUGAAGCAGCUGUUCUCUGAAGGUGGUUCACAGUAUCCAGCAGAUACCAGAUCACGACAGUCCCAAGCCCUACAGACACUUAGCAGCAGGUGCCAAGAGCUGACAGCUACAGUGUGACACGCCUUUCCUCAGACCUCCCUAAGCUUCACUUUGGUAGCUGGAAGCACUCGGACUGUUGGAUUGACAGGUUUGUUGACUCUUCAACUUCUCUCCUGAGUGGACAGGACUGAGCUACUCAACAACUUCCCUCCUGAGCUUUCACUUCACCAAUUCUUUCCACAGUUGGAAAGAAAGAAACAAUAAUGCAGCCAUGGGGCAGGGUCCAGGUUCCAACUCAAGGAACGUACAUAACUAUCUGAUAUAUAUCUCUUAAUUUCUUCAGGAACUAGGGCCUCACCCACGUGGGAAGGAUGGUGGGAGGAUGGUACAUUCAGGCAGAGCACAGGCACCGGAACCCCAGAUUAGUUAGAACCGGAAGACUGACUGAGAUUCCCGGAACAGGACCCUGUUACCUCACCACCAACCAGUCCAGGAAGAUCACAUACCCUGCAGCUCUCCCCCUAAAUACUGCAUAUAAAAACUCUCCCCCAAAACUUAUCAGGCAGUCUGAGCCUUUUGAACAGGCAGGAGUCCCCUUUCUCCUUGCCCAGCCCUGCAAUAAGCCUUUCUCUGUUUCAGACUCCUGCAUUUCCUUUUGUUUGGCUUUACUGUGCCUCCAGCACACAAACUCCUGUUACACAAUCCAGCAGAGCCUGAAGGGCAUGGGUGCACACAGUGUGAAGUGGGGCACGGUGGUCGCUUCGAUUUCCACCCCCCAACGAAGCCGGCAGCGCCUUCCCCCCAUUCUACCCUGAGAUCCCAGGGAGGGGACAUCCCACGAAGUCCCAAGGGCUCUUCUGGGGACGUUCAGAGUUCCCAGGGCAGCGGGAAGAGGACAAUUGCAAAGAGGAAAGGGACUUUUUUUUUUUCCCCUGGCGGGAAUUUUACCUCAGGGCAGAGAACUCUAGAAAUGCAGGGAGAGCGGGUGCAUUUAGGGGAGGCCUAAAAGUCCCUCCCUGUCGCUCAUCCCGAAUGGAUUUCAACUCUUUCCACGACGUUCAAACCUGAAGAGACGGCCGCGGGCCGGCGCCCCCUGGCGUCACGGAGGAAGCGGCUCGGGUCCGGGUGACGAGAGGCGGGGUGGGAGGCGAGUCCUGGGCCCUCCCAGCUGAGUAUGGUCUGGAUCAGCUGUGAGAUAGCACCCCUAGUCGUGGUUCCAUGGUGUAGUGAACCUGUUUUCCGGCUCCCGUAUCCGCGACCAGCGCAGUGUGCACGGAUUUGGCAGGCAGGUGUGAGAUCAUCCCGGGCGUCCCCGCUGGACCCGGGCGACUCUGCCCGUCACUGGCCGUCCAAGGCCCGGCCCUGCCGCCAGGGGGCGAAGCGACCGAACCAUUGCCAUCGCCCUGUCGGGUCCCCUGGGUCUCGCGGGUAAAAGGCAGAGACAGAGACCACAGAGUCCUGCCUCCCCAGGGGGCUUCGCACCGCACGUCUUGUAACUGCACGGCUGUCCUUGUCUCCAUUGGAUGUGGAAAGCCACUGUUAGGCUAAGAUUGAAGCUUGACUCCAGGAAAUUUCGUACUUUCAAGUUCAGCCAGGAAGAGGAGAAAGUUCAAGGAUCCAGCAUCUGGGGAAACCAGGGGUCCCUGACCCACCUCCACCCAGGCCUUUGAGACACCCGCUGAUCUUACAGUUAAGGCUAGACUAUAAGGAAUAUACCUUGUUUGGUUACAUGUGAGUUGGAAACCACAUUCAUUUUGUUAUCAUUAUAAAAUGAAUUUCUAAGGUGUCACCUCUGGACAUUGAGAACACAGUGUAAAAAUUAAUCUGUUUAAGCCUUUUGUGGAACAAGCAUAUGGAUAAGAACUAUCCCAAGAGACUAUAAAACACAAUAAUUUAUAUGUACCCCCAGGACAGUGACAAAAUAAAACUGCUUUCCUCAAUUAU